rnacentral:rRNA from 1 species
CUGUGGCAUUCUAGAGCUAAUACAUGCAAUAAAGCUCUGCCCGCAAGGAACGAGCGCAUUUAUUAGAAUAAAAACCAAUCGGGUCUCGACUCGUAAUUUGGUGAAUCUGAAUAACUUUGCCAAUCGCACAGUCCUAGUACUGGCGAUGUAUCUUUCAAGUGUCUGCCUUAUCAACUUUCGAUGGUACGCUAUACGCCUACCAUGGUAGUAACGGGUAACGGAGAAUAAGGGUUCGACUCCGGAGAGGGAGCCUGAGAAACGGCUACCACAUCCAAGGAAGGCAGCAGGCGCGCAAAUUACCCACUUCCAGAACGGAGAGGUAGUGACGAAAAAUAACGAGACAGUCCUCUUCGAGGUCUGUCAUCGGAAUGGGUACAAUUUAAAUCCUUUAACGAGGAUCUAUUGGAGGGCAAGUCUGGUGCCAGCAGCCGCGGUAAUUCCAGCUCCAAUAGCGUAUAUUAAAGUUGUUGCGGUUAAAACGCUCGUAGUUGGAUUUGCGGCCUCGAAGAAUGGUCCCCCGAAAGGGCGGUCACUGUCUCUUCUAGCCUAAAGUCGAGUCGUCUCUAGGUGCUCUUUAUUGAGUGCUUAGAGUGACUAGAACGUUUACUUUGAAAAAAUUAGAGUGCUUAAAGCAGACGAAAUAGUCUGAAUAAGGUGCAUGGAAUAAUGGAAUAGGACCUCGGUUCUAUUUUGUUGGUUUUCGGAGCCCGAGGUAAUGAUUAAGAGGAACAGACGGGGGCAUUCGUAUUCCGGCGCUAGAGGUGAAAUUCUUGGACCGCCGGAAGACGAACAACUGCGAAAGCAUUUGCCAAGAAUGUUUUCAUUAAUCAAGAACGAAAGUUAGAGGUUCG